rnacentral:rRNA from 1 species
GACGAACCGAGCGAACGUUGUUCGGAAUAACGGGGUUUAAAGGGCGCGUAGGCGGGCUGUCAGGUCUGGGAGGAAUUCCCGCGGCACAACCGCGGAACCGCCUCGGAUACUGACGGCCUCGAGGGGGGUAGGGGCGAGCGGAACUAAUGGUGGAGCGGUGAAAUGCGUUGAUAUCAUUAGGAACUCCGGUGGCGAAGGCGGCUCGCUGGACCUCUUCUGACGCUGAGGCGCGAAAGCUAGGGGAGCAAACGGG